rnacentral:rRNA from 1 species
AUUGAACGCUGGCGGCAUGCCUAACACAUGCAAGUCGAACGGUAACAGGUCUUCGGAUGCUGACGAGUGGCGGACGGGUGAGUAAUGCGUAGGAAUCUGUCUUUUAGUGGGGGACAACCCAGGGAAACUUGGGCUAAUACCGCAUGAGCCCUGAGGGGGAAAGCGGGGGAUCUUCGGACCUCGCGCUAAGGGAAGAGCCUACGUCUGAUUAGCUAGUUGGU